GACGAACGCUGGCGGCGUGCCUAAUACAUGCAAGUAGAACGCUGAAGGAGGAGCUUGCUCUUCUGGACGAGUUGCGAACGGGUGAGUAACGCGUAGGUAACCUGCCUGGUAGCGGGGGAUAACUAUUGGAAACGAUAGCUAAUACCGCAUAACAGUAGAUGUUGCAUGACAUUUGCUUAAAAGGUGCAAUUGCACCACUACCAGAUGGACCUGCGUUGUAUUAGCUAGUUGGUGGGGUAACGGCUCACCAAGGCGACGAUACAUAGCCGACCUGAGAGGGUGAUCGGCCACACUGGGACUGAGACACGGCCCAGACUCCUACGGGAGGCAGCAGUAGGGAAUCUUCGGCAAGGGACGGAAGUCUGACCGAGCAACGCCGCGUGAGUGAAGAAGGUUUUCGGAUCGUAAAGCUCUGUUGUAAGAGAAGAACGAGUGUGAGAGUGGAAAGUUCACACUGUGACGGUAUCUUACCAGAAAGGGACGGCUAACUACGUG
rnacentral:rRNA from 1 species